rnacentral:rRNA from 1 species
UACGAAGGGGGCUAGCGUUGCUCGGAAUUACUGGGCGUAAAGGGCGCGUAGGCGGACAGUUUAGUCAGAGGUGAAAGCCCAGGGCUCAACCUUGGAACUGCCUUUGAUACUGGCUGUCUUGAGUUCGGGAGAGGUGAGUGGAACUCCGAGUGUAGAGGUGAAAUUCGUAGAUAUUCGGAAGAACACCAGUGGCGAAGGCGACUCACUGGCCCGAUACUGACGCUGAGGCGCGAAAGCGUGGGGAGCAAACAGG